rnacentral:rRNA from 1 species
AGCAGCCACGGUAAUUCCAGCUCCAAUAGCGUAUAUUAAAGUUGCUGCAGUUAAAAAGCUCGUAGUUGAAUUUCGGGACUAAUAUGUCGGUCGUGCCUCGGUACGUACUGGCUUAUUGGUUUCUCCUUUCUGAAGAACCAUGAUGUCAUUUAUUUGGUGUCGUGGGGAAUCAGGACUGUUACUUUGAAAAAUUAGAGUGUUUAAAGCAGGCUCACGCUUGAAUACAUUAGCAUGGAAUAAUGAAAUAGGACGUUUGAUUCUAUUUUGUUGGUUUCUAGGAUCGACGUAAUGAUUAAUAGGGAUAGUUGGGGCAUUAGUAUUCAAUUGUCAGAGGUGAAAUUCUUGGAUUUAUUGAAGACUAACUACUGCGAAAGCAUUUGCCAAGGAUGUUUUCAUUAAUACAAGAACGAAAGUUAGGGGAUCGAAGACGAUCAGAUACCGUCGUAGUCUUAACCAUAAACUAUAAGCCGACUAGGGAUCGGAUGAUGUUAAUUUUAAUG